UUGCCCAGUUGGAAACUGCCUGUGAUACUGACCAAAGCUCGCAGGAAUCUCAGUCAUUCGAGAUCUUUGCUAUCUCAGUGCUUCAUGUCAAGAGCUCCCUGGCAGCGUCUGCUUGCUGCCAGCGAGGUUUCCAGCAGGGAACAGCGCAUGUUGUGCUUUCUCCCUUAGAUGGAAGAAGCGGAGCUACGCGGGACGAAAAGCAGGGCUCAGCCCCUUGGCCGGCGCUCGCGGCACGCAGCACCGACACACUGGGAGCCGUGCCCACGCCUGCCAAGCUCAGGGCUGCGGCCUGUGCGGGCUGAAGCACGGCAAGGGCUGGCACCCAGGGGCACCGCUCGCCCCGCUGGUGAUGCAACCAGACAAACACUCCCUGGGUAAAACCAGCAAGGUCCAAUCCUGCCAGGAUCCCUGCGUCUGCUCACUCAGGGACCACGGCCCUUGGGGCAGCCCAAAGCAGGAGAACUGAGGCGGACAGGAAUAAUGAAAAGUCUCCUAAGCACCCCCUUGAUUUCUAUAACCGUUGUGGACGCGACGUCUUUGGGAACUGCUGGACACACUGUGGAUACAAAUGCGUCUACUCACUGAGUCCUGUGUUCACAAAGAGAGUUAAGAGAGCUUUUCAGAGACACCUCUGAGCUGAAAGGCUCUUGCAAAUGCGUGUUUGACUAGUUGGGAAGAAAGGGAAUCCGUCUUGGUUACGGAAAAGAUUGGAACCACAAAAAAGACAAGGACAAGAGACUUUAAAGAGAUGCCUCGGAGCAAAAUGAAGUUGUACGUGAGACAGGGGAGCUCUGAACUAUUAUAUAUCCCUCCAGGAGACUGCAGAGUAAGAUGGCAGCCCUCCUGCUCUGCCAGAGGCUGCCUUGCUUACCUAAGUGAUCGCACGUAAGGGGAGCUGUGUGAAACACACAACUUUCACAUUUUACUUUUAUCCCAAGUUGGAAAACCAACUAUUUUACACUGAAACUGUAUCAGCUGAAAUUCUGGGUACCCGAAAUCAAACUUUACUGGUUUAUGUCAAAUACAAGCGCAGGACAGUCUCAAGCAGCUUUCUUAAAUCUGUUUUGAGGCAGAAAGACCAAGUGACAGUGUUGGAAAAAUUCUAGUGACCACGUCAUUUAAAAGCCUACCGUACGAGAACAAAUCCAAAAUACAGCAGAGUGCAUGUUUAAACUACUAUGUCUACACGAGCUAAGACAAAAUACUGUAAUUUAAAACUUUGUGAUAAGAUCUCUAACUUUGAAGAGAAAAAAAUUAACCACGUAGAGAGCAAUGUACACAAACCUUUUGGUGGUUUUAUCUUUGGCUGUAAGGUUUGGAAGUUCAAAGCCCAACUGUUUAUCUUCUACAGCACACAUCUUUCACCGUCUCCUCUGCCACCUCACCCCUCUAUUUAUUUUCAAAUUCUGUCACUUUACCCUUUGUCAAUAUCCUAGAUGUGUCCUUGCAGACAAAACCUUGUUCAGGCACUCCUUGCCUCUGCCAAAACCUGUAUCAUCAGAUAACUUUUCUCUCUGUUGGUAAAUACAGACACCGGUCAAACAAUUUCUCUGCUUCCUACACGAGAACAAAAGAGCCGCCUCAUGUGACGAGUCCAUAUUCAUCUUGUACCAGCAGCCAGAAGUUGUAUCAAAUUCAAUUUGUCACACCUCCCCUUCUCUAAAGUGCUUCUUCUUACCCUUUGACUUUUCGUAGCCCUAUAAAAAUAAGGAUGGCUACGGGUAAGUCUAUGUCAACCAGGACGAGCGACGCUGGAACACAUUUUUAACGAUCGGAGCUAAAAGCACUGGCCUGCAUGCAAAUCAUUCACCUACUGCUGUGCCUGAGCUCCAAGGACACACCGCACAGUCACGGUGCUCCUAGGUUUUGUGUCUGCGUCUUCCUCUUUAAAUGGGGCAUUAUGAAGAUGUUUGACUGAUGCUUCUUGGCAACAGUGACUCUCUAUUUUAUUCCCACAGCUUGACACAGACAAGACAUUCGCAUGGAGGUAGCUCUGCUGGUGAGGCUAAAUGACCGUGAUGGAAACUAAUACCCAGUUAGGAUGACAUUUAUAGUGCUGACAGCUCAGUGUUGCGCAGAGAUCAUUAAAAUAAUUUCAUAGGUCACCCAAACACUUGUAGUUCUAAAUUAAAAGAUGAGUAAAACCAUAUUUAGACUUUUUGUCUACAUAUCCUAGAAAAAUCAGGAAGUUCAUAUUAUACCAGUUGAAACCAAUAUAAUCCAAAAUAAAUCAUGUCUUCCAAGCAGUUCCAUAUGACAGCGUAAUAACUACUGUUCUGCCCUACAGCUUUAAUUGGUUCGAGUCCAGCCUUUCCCUCACUCCUCGAGCACGCAGUGCUCCAACGCUGGGACUGGAGGCCCACAGAGGCUGUGAGAGCCUCCUCUCCUCUCAACAAAAGCAAUUUCCAGCUUCACGGCCACCAGCAGGACUCCACCACAGGCUGUGUGGGGCAGCGAGCCUGCCAUUCACUGCUCCUAUCCAGCAACCCCUGCGUUCACCAUGGAUCUCUCCUGACCCAUAUGGAAAUAAUUUUUGACCACUUCUGAACAGGCGAGAUUUGAAUUGAUGACCUGGAGGUGAAAAAGCGCCGUAUCACAUUACCAUCCGGUUCCAACUUAGUUCUGUUAGAGUGUCUUCCCUCUCUUCUUGCUCCAGCAGCUCCCACCAUACAGACCAAAAAACCAGGGUCCUGCUUCAGAGACCAUUCCUGGUGGUAGCACCAACAGUGGCUGCCUGGAGCCCAUCAGGGCUGCAGGACUGGCCUCUGUGGCCUCAUCUCUGGACCUGACUGCCAGCAGCUCCUGGAUCUCCCUGAACUUUGCUCUGGUCUCCAGUGAAGUAACACAAUAGGGCGGUAAAGUCCCAAACCAGACCUGCAAAAUCGGCUACUGUUUGGAAAGUAAACACUGAACUUCAGUGUUUUAGCUGAAAAUAAAACUAUUGCCAGGUAACAUUUAUCUUUCUGGGCUUUCUCAUUCUCCUCCUCAUUUUGAGGUCACAGAGACCUUAACUCAUUUGGUAACAGUGUUCUUGCGUCACACAGAAACUGGAAAACAUGCACGGCCCGUUUUGCACAAUACAGGCUUAGAUACGAAUAAUCAAAUUCAUUUCCAGGUCUAUGACAGCCACUGCAAACGAAUGGCCUCAGUCUAGAGCUAGGGACAGAAAAAGACCUUAAGUGGCAGUGACGGAAAGCAAGGAGCAAACUUUGCUCCGCUGGGUAGCCCAGGGAUUUCAGCAGUGUCCUGGCAGGGAGAGGUGACAGUUCUGCCCCACUGCCCACGUCUCACCACAGUGCUGCCCUGGCCACACUGCAGCCCGAAGCUGCACUUCACAAGAGUCCCUGAAAAACACACUGUUUCUGUGCAUUUUGCAGUGAUGUGUGACCCAGGGGGAUGCGACACCUUCGGGCAGUGCUGAGGCUGCCUGGGGCGGACACCCAGCAGUUGCACCGGGCAAGCACUCCCUGCACUUUCUUAGAGGCACAGAGCCAGGUUGUGAGCGCACCGAGCACCAAAGCCCUUAGGCUCACAGGGAACUGAGUGUUUGAUUCUACUCAUCUUCUGCUGAUGAGUGCUUUUCUUCAUCUUUUCUUGCAAAGCAAAACCCCUUUUGGAUCUGGGAAGCUCCUCCUCGUGUUCUCCUGAAGGAUACCCUCACUCCCUUGGGUGCCCAAGCACUUGGCUGUUGUGUGAGCCUGUCCCAGUGGGCCCUGCCUAGAAAACCUGCAGGCUUCACCCACAAUGGAAAACAAUCCAGCCCAGGUGCAGCCUGGUGUGCAUCCGUACGACCUUUCCUCCUCCCAGACGGAGCCAUCUCUUCCACACCGCCUGGAGGAAGAAGCCCCAGAGCCUGUGCUGUUUCCUGAACCUCUGCACUGGCAGAGGACAAGACAGUGCCACAGGGCAGGCUCCCAGCUGCCAGCACAGACAGUGCUUCAGGCUGUGCCCAGGCACUGUUCAGACACAUCUCCAGACCCUGUCAGGAAGGAGGAAUCUGUCCCCUCAUCAGCUCAAACCGAGGUAAGGACACAAGGAACCCAGGCAGCCUCUUUUGCAUAUCCAUUUCUGACCCUUUAGAAAUGGGCAGUAUCUUGUAUAGAGCGUAUGUGGUCAUCCCCGGGCCUGGCCCUGAAGCCCUGCAGGAGCUUCCCCGUCCCAUCCAACCCAUUCCCUCCGUGACCUCCCAUUGCCCCGUGAUGGCUGGGCAGGGGUUUCCUCCCAAGAAGAGGCACACGGCGCGAGGAAGGCGGGUCGACUGUGCCUCGCUGAUUUUCUGCAGCUGAGGAUCUGGCCUGAGGCACUUCUCUUGAACUUCUUUGUCUGAGCACAUCCAUUGGUAGCCACAUGGUUGGCUGGGGAUGUUUUUGUACGUCUGGGAUACACAGAUGUCUGAUAGCUGUCUGUCUAUCGAAGAGAUUUGAUAAUUAUUACUGCCUCCAGGAAACUGAUGCUGCUAAGAGUGUCUGUCAGAGAGUCCAAACAGCCUGCUGACAUCCUGGCACAGUUUCAUAAAGAAGUCAGUGUCCAAAAUAGAAAUACAUUUUCUAUGUACUUGAAAUAUACCAGGGGCUUGGUGGCGAGUUGUUGUAAUUAAUCCACUUCCUGGCCUGAUAUAUUUUGGGAUCAUUCUGGUGCGUGGUAUGUUAAAUACUGAACUCAGUUCAUACUGUUGGUUUUGAAUGGAACUUACAUUCAUUAUGUCCAAAUGAGUGAUUUGUAGGCACUCCUUGCAAAGCAGAAAAAAGCUUUGGAUUGCAUUUCUGGUGUGCUUUUACCAUUCACUCAGUAAUUUCAUCAUACACAUCACUGUGAAAUCUGCGGGACACAGUAACACAUUUGAAAGGUGGCAGCAAAACUAUUUUCUGUUAUUCAGCUAGAAGUCAUUUGCUAAAAGACUGCAAAGACAAAGUCUACAAUAUCGUACCAUCAGCCUCUUGACGGCAGAAGAAAUAUGAAUAAUGUCUGUGUGCACAUUGCUUCUGGUCUGAAAGAGAGAGAAAGAAGGGGAACAAGGGAGAGGGAGGGAGAAAAAGAUGCUGCUCUUGAUAUUCCUCAUGUCGUUUUGGAGUCGUGCUAUUUACGUCCUGGACAGAUUGAAUUUAGCCCAGCCUAGUAGAGAAGAAUUUUAACCCUAAUUUUUAAAGGACAAUUACCUGACUGUCUAGCUACAGUUAUUUAAUAGCCUUUUGGAAGCUACAACUGACCUGAAGAUCCUACUUGCUGCUCGGAUCUAACAGACAUGAACAUCAAAGGUAUGUGCGUUAGGUAUGCAUGCAAAUCCCCUGCAGCUUUUUUCAUCAUGGUGCUGCAACCCGAUACCCCAGCGGGAAUGCAGUGCCUACAGCACCCCGACACAGCCCCGCUCCCCGACACAGCUCGCAGGGGUCACCUCGCUCACGGAGCACCGUACGCACCAGGAAAGCAGCCUGGCUUUAGAUGGUACAGUUCUCAGGGACGUUUUACCAAACGCAGUUCAUUUCUGAUAAUCAGCCUGCUGUAUACUUGCUCUCAAUCCCUAAGAUUUUCCCUCAAACUUUCCCUACUUUGCUGUUGCUGUUGUUUCUUUCUAGGUGACAAAACAAGCUGAUUUUUUUGCGUUGCAGAAAAACAGAGUAAAAUCCUGUCCUUGGCUAAAACACAUCCUUAGUUGCAGAGUCUACCCAAAGAGGUAAAUGCUUCCAUCUCCCAGCUAGUCACAUUUUACUUUGAUUGGACCCAAUGUGAUUUGGGAGGCGCCAGACAGGCACAAGUUGGUAGCAUCUGUGGUUAGGUGGUCCUGGCAGCAGAGGUGAAAUCAGCUUGCUGGGUGAAGGAGAAGGAUAGCUGGCCUCCAGACGCUGCUGUGGUUGGCACAGAAAGAUGUAUGUCUUCUGGGGAUUAGGCUACACGAUGGGUAGCCAGUUUGCUCAAUUUGCAGCUGGACGUAAUCCGCCUCCACGAGCUCAGGUAUUGUACCAGCACUGGAGUGAUUAAUGGCAGCUGCAAGACUAUUUUAGCGUUGGCAGCAGUGUGCCAAGGACACCCUGAUAUCAACUCCAGGUAUUAACAGGUAGGGAAGAUACAGAUGGUGGGGAGCAAGGUCCUUCUGCUGGUGGCGAGCAGGCUGCUCCCAGGCACCUCAAUGUCCCCGUGUCCCCUGCCAGCAGCUUCCCAGCCCAGUCUCCAGCAAGGCUUUAUCUUGAGAAGGGAGCUGGGGAGCACAGGGUGCACCCUGAGGUGAGCUCUGCAGGCAGCCCCACGGACACUAGAGGUAGCUGUGAGCCCAGUGCUCACCCCGGCAAACCCCAUGGCCAGCAAGGAGGCCACCAGUGAAGGAGGGAGGGCCAGCAUUUGAGAGAGACGUGAGGAAACCAGAGUACAGCUCAGGGCAGCGUGUGUACACCUAGCAGCUUCUGGAAGUCUUUGGCUGAUCAUGAAAAAGAAGGAAGAAAGAGGAAGGCCCCUGGACUGCACUGCCUCGGGGGGCGGAGGAUCACACCCCUAGCCGCAAGCAGAGAAACAACCUGCCGCUCCCGGCUGAUGACAGCCGGACCCGCAGGAGCUCGUGCUCUUCCUGAAGAAGAGCUCAAGCGAUCUCUCAGCACGGCAAUCUGUGCAGAAGCAGUCAAAAAUGCAACACUUUGCUAACUCUAAACUGAUUUGCAAGCCUGAAACUGAUGAUUUCGUAAGUCUUCCAGAUGCACCAUCAUCGUUCCAGAAAGUUUCCUGACUGACAAGAAAGCCAAGCCAGGAUUUCUGUCAGAUCUCCGUAUCAGGAUAUUAUUAAUAAAUGUUGUGUACCUAAGGGGGAAUCCCCCUAAUAUUG